UGAUGAUGGUGAAGGCAAUUUCUAAGCAUACUCUUAAAUCUCUCCCAAUCUUGGUAGAAAUUCUCUUAUUCUUUUUGUCUGAAACUCAUAAUAUUGCUUCUCAAACU
rfam:Capsicum annuum cultivar Zunla-1 chromosome 10, whole genome shotgun sequence